rnacentral:lncRNA from 1 species
AAGCACAAUAUGGAUGCACCAGAACACUGGAAUGAAGGGCAUUUUGGAGGGGAGAAGAAUGCAGGGUGGGAGAGAUGAGAGAUUUUUCUCACACUGCAGAGUCUGUUGGGAAAAGGAUUGGAGGAUUCUAUCCUGCGCCAAAACUGACCUGGGUAUUUAUACCCUGGGUAUGUUUGGGGUGAGGGGUGUGUGCACACACGGAUCUUUGGGAGGCAGAAGGAAGGGUGGACAAUAUCUCUGCUCUGCAGGGGUCAGAAAUGCCAAGUCUGCACUGUGCCUCUUGCAAUUUCCAAGAGGAGCUGCAGAAGGCUCCAAAGUUUCUGAGGGGAAUCAGGUUUUGAGCUUGUCUACGUGUGCUGGGACUUUUUUUUCCCUGUUUCCCUUCUCCCAUUUGUUUGGUUUAGGAAUGGGAGGCCCCGCUUCCCAGAGAGUGGCUGGCGUUUGGCAGGACCCCAGAACCACUGGAGAAGCAAGCGGAAAACUCUGGGAAAAUAUGCACUGACAAAUGCUCCAGCCCUCUGAUUAUCUUCAUUAAUGUCAUCUUGGACCUGCUCCAAAAUGUCCAUGUCCUUCAUAUAUUGGGGUUCCCAGGCUAAGAUGCAGCACUCCAGAUGGAGUAUCACCAGAGAGGAGAAGAUGGCAAGACGUGCUUGCCAUGUUUCGUUUGAUGCAGCCCAGGACACAGGUGUCUCUCUGUGCUGCGAGUGCACAGGUCCCUGCGGAUGUCUGACACGCGGGGGGUUAACACGGAGAGGCUCCAGCGCCGCUUGGCAGCCCCGGUGAGCAGGGCAGGAGCCGCUGCCGGCCGGUGUCCGAUCCCCC